rnacentral:rRNA from 1 species
CAAAAUGACUCUCGGCAACGGAUAUCCCGGCUCUCGCAUCGAUGAAGAACGUAGCGAAAUGCGAUACUUGGUGUGAAUUGCAGAAUCCCGUGAACCAUCGAGUCUUUGAACGCAAGUUGCGCCCGAAGCCUUUAGGCUUAGGGCACGUCUGCCUGGGUGUCACG